UUCCAUGCGAGUGCAUGUGGCAUUCAGCUUGGGAUUUGGAUAGGCACAAUACUAGGCAAAACAAUAAACGAAGUAAUGAACCAGAAGAGAUGAGGAGACAAAUUCGUUCCGUUAGAUCCGUGGCCGUACUGUGAUCUACGGCCACGAUUCCCCGGGCCGCCGCGACGGCGGAUGGCCACGCCCCCCACUCCCCCUCAAACUUCGCGAACCCGCCACCCCCUCCCUCUCUCUCCAAGAAUCACCCACCAAUGGCUUCCCUCCUGCGAGAGGAUUAGGGUUACAGUUAAGGUUUUGGUUCCUCCCAAUGUCGUCGGAGCUGAAGGAUCUCGUCGGGUCCAACGGAUCCCUCGACUCCCAGGAGGAGUCCCCCCACGUCGGUGGCGGCGGGGGAUCCUCCGGCAAGGCGAAGGACGAGCGGCCGCUCCUGAAGCCGGGAUCCGCCGCCUCCGAGGCCGCCAACGCGGCCACUCCCUCGGAGAGACUCGAGGAAUUGGAGAAGAAGUACGCGCCGUACGUGCGGAAGGACGCCUAUGGGACGAUGGGCCGCGGGGAGCUACCUCCGGCGGAGUGGGUGCUCCUCGGGAUCGCCCUCGUGACGCUGGUCCCGAUCCGGCUCGUGGUCGGGAUCUUUCUGGUGGUGUUAUAUUACCUGAUCUGCCGGCUGUGCACGCUUUUCUACGCUCCGAACCGGGAGGAUGGAAAGGAAGACUACGCCCACAUGGUGGGGUGGAGAAGGGUGGUGGUGGUCCGGACUGGGAGAUUCCUCUCCAGGAUAAUGCUAUUCGUGCUCGGCUUUUAUUGGAUUCGGGAGUCCCAUCGGAGUUUCUCCUUCGAGGAUGAGCACGAGCAGCCUGAUGAAUCUGAAAGACCAGAGGUUAUUGUGUCGAAUCACAUAUCUUAUGUGGAUAUUCUCUAUCAGAUGUCGUCAUGCUUUCCAAGUUUUGUUGCAAAGAGGUCAGUGGCUAGGCUUCCCCUCAUUGGUAUCAUCAGCAAGUGCCUUGGUUGUGUCUAUGUUCAACGAGAGUCGAAAUCUUCUAAGGGUGUCUCGGGUAUUCUGACAGAAAGAAUUAAAGAGGCCCAUCAAAACAAGCUUUAUCCAAUGAUGAUGCUCUUUCCAGAAGGUACAACCACGAAUGGCAAUUACCUUCUUCCAUUCAAGACAGGUGCCUUUCUAGCUAAAGCACCAGUUCUUCCAGUGAUUCUAAAAAAUCAUCAAGCUGUGAUUACAUCACCGUUCCAUGCUAACACUGGCAGAUUGACAUAGAAGAUAUCAUGGGUGCGUCAUGUGUUUUUGCUUCUUUGUCAAUUUGUCAAUCAUCUUGAGGUGAUCCAUUUGCCUGUAUAUUAUCCUUCUGAGCAAGAAAUGGAGGACCCCAAACUCUAUGCUAAUAAUGUUCGGAAAUUAAUGGCUACUGAGGGCAAUUUAAUACUCUCAGAUAUUGGGUUAGCUGAGAAGCGAAUCUACCAUGCUGCGCUGAAUGGUAAUAGUCUACCUCGUGUUUUACAUCAGAAAGAUGACUGAAAAACUAUUGACCUCGCUCACAGGAUUUGUAUAAUCAGUUGAGUUGCUUGUUUCCAUGCAUUAUAACUAUAUCCAGAAGUGCUAGCUGUUUUCCUCGUUUUGUUUCAGAGAUGGAUGUUGUGCAUGCCAUCAUGCUGUAAAACCCCAUUCCCAGGAUUUGGGUAGCGCAAAUUGUUUGUCUAGAAAGGAUGCCCUUUGAUGCCAUGGGCUCUUUAAUAUACAUGAACCAUGUUCCAAAGCUUAAGAUUCAGUCUUGUACAUUUGGAGACUAAUAAUUAAUAAAUUACUUUUAAUGUCUCUAAUAUUUA